AACAUACACACAUAAUCAUUCAUCAACCAAUUAGUGAGAUUGAAAGAAAAAGCCAACGAUAAAAUUUUUUUCCCUUAUAAUGGAUGAUUUUCCCAAUAGACCACUGAAGGUUUGGUAUGCGCACAAGGCAGUAGUCCACCAGUCAAAAAAAGUCGAAUAGACGAGCCAUGUCAGAUAGAACAUAUCUUGUUACGUCCAAAUAUUGGAUCCGUUGAGAAAGUCACCAAGCAAAUGUGGGUAUAUGACAGUCAAGAUAGAAUGGUUUUACGUGAUGUUUCAUAUGUGCCCCAAUUAUAUAAAAUUUUUGAUGAAAUUCUUGUAAAUAUUGCUGAUGAUAAAAUUUGUGAUCAAAAAAUGACCAUUAUUAAAAUCGAAAUCAAUAUGGAAAGUGAUGAAAUAAUUUUUUUAACAAUGGCCGUGGAAGAACGUUUCUGAUCCCACAUCAAGAUAUUAAUGGUGCUGAAACAAUUGUUUUCACAACAAGGAUUUUUGGCAAUAUUUUAUCAUCAUUAAAUUGUAUUAAUAAUAACGCUACAAGUGUAUAUGAUUACACAAAUAGGAUCCCAUUAUUAGUGGUAAUUGAUGGUUCCAUUCAAAAUUCACAGCUAAAUUAAAUUUUGCUCGAUACACUAGUGGUGGAUUCAUCAAAUCAAGCAAAAUUUUUAUUUACAUCGUCCACGAAACACGACACUUGAUUUUGAUUUUCAACAUAACGGACAAAUAGCCAAUUGUCAUUGUUUCAAAAAUCAUUGGCGAGCUUAUUGGUCCACUAUUGAUCAAUGUCAUCGAAGACAGUGAAGCUCCUACUUUUUUCAAAAACCAAAAGGUUUUAAAAAGACUACUAGGCAAAUGGUUAUUACCUAAAAAAAUUGAUGGUCUAAUGACAUCGUUUGCUUCUGCAUCGGUUCAGCUAUUGAUUUCACCAAUAACAUUUGAUGAUAAAAACAAGUGGCUGUUGCCUCAAGAUUGAAAUAUAUCGUUUUUAGAUAUCAUAUGAUUGGAAAUUUGUUCAAAGAGCAAGUCAUAGACGUGGACUGGUUUAAUCCUAGAAAGGCAACCAUAUCGAUAUUGCGGUAAAGGGAACCUUUCUAUGGUUAAAGUUGGAAGUCAAGUAAUUUGUUGUAGUUUUUGUGACGUUCCAAUCUUUAUUUCCACAAGAGGAGUGUUGGAAUUAUUGAACAAAUAAUUCCAACAGUUUUACAUAAACAAUUUAUGAAUUUGGAUCAUUUGAUUCAGUAUCAUAAAAAUCAAUACUCCGAAUAUUCGAUACUAUUUUUAUUGACGUUACAACAUAACCACAAUAUAACAAUCU